AGUCGAAGGCAGCGGGGGAGCUUGCUCCCGCCGGCGAGUGGCAAACGGGUGAGUAAUACAUCGGAACGUGCCCAGUAGUGGGGGAUAGCCCGGCGAAAGCCGGAUUAAUACCGCAUACGACCUACGGGUGAAAGCGGGGGACCGAAAGGCCUCGCGCUAUUGGAGCGGCCGAUGGCUGAUGAGCUAGUUGGUGGGGUAAAAGCCUACCAAGGCUACGAUCAGUAGCUGGUCUGAGAGGACGACCAGCCACACUGGGACUGAGACACGGCCCAGACUCCUGCGGGAGGCAGCAGUGGGGAAUUUUGGACAAUAGGCGAAAGCCUGAUCCAGCAAUGCCGCGUGCGCGAAGAAGGCCUUCGGGUUGUAAAGCACUUUUGUCAGGAAAGAAAUUGUUCGGGCCAAUACCCCGAGCCGUUGACGGUACCUGAAGAAUAAGCACCGGCUAACUACGUGCCAGCAGCCGCGGUAAUACGUAGGGUGCGAGCGUUAAUCGGAAUUACUGGGCGUAAAGCGUGCGCAGGCGGUUUGUUAAGACAGUUGUGAAAUCCCCGGGCUCAACCUGAGAACUGCAAUUGUGACUGGCAGGCUAGAGUUUGGCAGAGGGGGGUGGAAUUCCUGGUGUAGCAGUGAAAUGCGUAGAUAUCAGGAGGAACACCGAUGGCGAAGGCAGCCCCCUGGGCCAUGACUGACGCUCAUGCACGAAAGCGUGGGGAGCAAACAGGAUUAGAUACCCUGGUAGUCCACGCCCUAAACGAUGUCUACUAGUUGUUGGGUCUUCAUUGACUUAGUAACGAAGCUAACGCGUGAAGUAGACCGCCUGGGGAGUACGG
rnacentral:rRNA from 1 species